GACGAACGCUGGCGGCGUGCCUAAUACAUGCAAGUCGAGCGGACUGAUUAAGAGCUUGCUCUUAUGACGUUAGCGGCGGACGGGUGAGUAACACGUGGACAACCUGCCCUGUAGAUCGGGAUAACACCGAGAAAUCGGUGCUAAUACCGGGUAAUAUCUGAGAUCACAUGAUCUUAGGUUAAAAGAUGGCUCCGGCUAUCACUACAGGAUGGGCCCGCGGCGCAUUAGCUAGUUGGUAAGGUAAUGGCUUACCAAGGCGACGAUGCGUAGCCGACCUGAGAGGGUGAUCGGCCACACUGGGACUGAGACACGGCCCAGACUCCUACGGGAGGCAGCAGUAGGGAAUCUUCCGCAAUGGACGAAAGUCUGACGGAGCAACGCCGCGUGAGUGAUGAAGGGUUUCGGCUCGUAAAGCUCUGUUGUUAGGGAAGAAACAGUACCGAACGAACUAGGUCGGUACCUUGACGGUACCUAACCAGAAAGCCACGGCUAACUACGUG
rnacentral:rRNA from 1 species